rnacentral:lncRNA from 1 species
CAACUACAGAAGAAUAUCCUGGCCCUUUUGUAAAUUUUAUUUUGAGACAGGGUCUGGUUAAGGGAUCCAGGGUGUCCUAGAAGUUUUAAUUUUUCUGCCACAUUUGUUGAAUAUUAUGAGAUUACCAGUAUGCUCCAGCACAUCCAGCUAUUUUUCUUCCUUCUAUUUAUAGUUGUUUUGUACUUGUAGUCAUGAAAAGGUGUUGUUGCCAGAUGGAUGCAACAAAAGGGUUUUUAAUUAGGAACAGAUAUUGGAGGAGACACUCAGUAGACAGAGCAAGGGGAGUUACUGAAGUGAGAGUACACUGCUUUAGAAAGGGCCAGUGGGCUCGUCCAUGAGAAUGGGCGGCCCUGAGGCAAAGAAGGAGCUGGGAAGUUGGCUGUGAGAAAUAAAACACACCAGAUCUGGGAUGCUAAAGUUAGUGAUGGGAUAUGGAAUAUUGCUCCAUAAGAGCAAAGCAUGUUGAUAGAAAUUUUUUCUGUAGUUUCAUUUGGAAACUUUAGAAACUUGAGAGGAAGUUGAAGAGUUUGUUUCUCAACUCAUUGUUUCCAGAGUCUCAGUAAAAACUGUUUUUGGUCUGGUUUCAGAAGAGCAGAGCCAAGAAGAGGAGAGAUUAAAGGCUUUAGUCACUGCUCAUACUUGGAGAAGUUGUCCUAAGGCAAAAGUGAAGUAGCAAAGAGAGCAAGCAAACUUCACUUAAUAAUUAUGAACUACAUAUCUGAUUUGAGGAGUUAUAAUGCCAGAACAGUAAGCAGAGGUCUUCAAGAAAUUCACAGCCCAUCGGAUGAAUUCUUUGAAGCUGUGUGUGAGCCUGGAAUAUCUUUAGGAUCCUGAGGGAGGAUUUUUUCCCAGGAGAGGUUGAUCCAACUCUUUAUGCUGAGUUCCUUUAUGGCCAUAGAGGGAGCUAAAAUGAGGUGUAAUGUGCCUUCCAACUAGGUUGUAGCUGAUUUGAUGGCUUCAUAUCCUUCCAUGUCUCAAGAAAAACCUGGCCUCCUGGCUUUCCUUUCUUGUGUAUCUCUAUGGAAUUUACUGGACAUGGCCAACAAGCAUUUCCUUAUUCUUGGACUGUGGCCUGAACUCAUCCCAGAUCAGUCAGGUAGUGCAGAAUCUGAUUCACUUCUGGGUCAAUGAUUAUAUUUGCUGAUAUCUCAUAUGGAUGUAACGUCAGAUUAACUUUCAGAGAAUUUCUAACUCUCUUAAAGCCAAUGUGUUAUAAAUUUAUUCAGUUUUGGAUGUUGCCUGACUACUUAGCAGAAGUACUCUUAAGGGAAUGGUUGGCGCUUUUUAUAUUACUGGACGAAAAUGGUGCUUAAGGAAAUGUAGAUAAUACUAUAUCCCCAGUGCUUUUGCUACUAGCUGGGUAAUUUGUGCCCUGAAAUCUUGACCUUUGUCACUUUGUAGUGAUCUUUGGAAGCCAAAGGAGGGAUGAUUUCCUUUUGGAAUACCUUUGCCACCUCUGGUGCCUUUUAUUUCUAAAAGAAAAAUCUGUAACCUCCCUGUAAAUGUAUAUAUGAGGAUUAUUAUGAGUUUAUAUCCUGUGAACUAGGGAAUAUGGGUGAAAUCUUGGGUCCAGUCUCUGCCUAGGUUUGAUCCCCAGUGCUGAUCAGGUCCUAAGAUGGGUGGUGAUAGCACCUUUCUGAAGUUAUUGAAGGUGUAGAGAGAGUGGUUUCAGGAGAGCUGGUGGGUGGUCUUUGAUGUUAGAAAGUCCAUAAACAUCUGAAUGACUCUUAUAUACUGCAUCUAUUGCCUGUCAGUGUAAUGCCUCAGGAAAAUGUAUUUGUUGUUUUCGUAUAACAAAGACCUAGUGGAUUCUUCCUGUUUCUUUACCCACAUAGGUUCUUCUUAAGACAUUAUUUUAUUUGCAUUUAGGGUGGGGAGGUCUAAUGGGGAUUGAAAUUGACCACUGAC